CGCCAGUUUCUUCGGGGCGGAGCUCGACCGCCAGCACAAGAAGUAGCCGCGUUCAUCGACGCCAACCGCGACGACGUCGUCGCGGGUCGGCGGCUGGGGGUCGAGCUCAUCUGCAGCGUGCUGCAGGUGGCCCCC
rfam:Janibacter hoylei PVAS-1 Contig116, whole genome shotgun sequence.